CAUUGUUCAACCAGUUCCUCAACACAACGCAAGCACAAAUCGACACUACAGUACAUUUCCGAAGACCAUUUAGUUUUAAAAGAUAUCUCACCAAUUGAUACGAACGUCACAAACCAUCGAUAACCAUGAACUUUCUACCCGACGAUGAAAACAAAUUAGUACAGGCUAUAAGGAGAGAGGACUGGCCAGCAGUAACAAACAUCCUUGAAAAUGAACCUCAUCUUAUUGAUACGCAGGAUGGG